rnacentral:rRNA from 1 species
GACGAACGCUGGCGGCGUGCUUAACACAUGCAAGUCGAGCGGUAAGGCCCUUUCGGGGGUACACGAGCGGCGAACGGGUGAGUAACACGUGGGCGACCUGCCCUUAGUUCUGGGAGUAAGCCUGGGAAACUGGGUCUAAUACCGGAUAUGACUCCAUGACGCAUGUUGUGGGGUGGAAAGCCUUGUGCGGCUAGGGAUGGGCCCGCGGCCUAUCAGCUUGUUGGUGGGGUGAUGGCCUACCAAGGCGACGACGGGUAGCCGGCCUGAGAGGGCGACCGGCCACACUGGGACUGAGACACGGCCCAGACUCCUACGGGAGGGCAGCAGUGGGGAAUCUUGCGCAAUGGGCGAAAGCCUGACGCAGCGACGCCGCGUG